UACGUAGGGGCCAAGCGUUGUCCGGAUUUAUUGGGCGUAAAGAGCUCGUAGGCGGUUCGGCAAGUCAGCUGUGAAAUCUCCACGCUCAACGUGGAGGGGUCAGCUGAUACUGCUGUGACUCGAGUCCGGUAGGGGAGUGUGGAAUUCCCGUGUAGCGGUGAAAUGCGCAGAUAUCGGGAGGAACACCGAUGGCGAAGGCAGGUCUCUGGGCCAUUACUGACACUGAGAAGCGAAAGCAUGGGGGAGCGAACAGG
rnacentral:rRNA from 1 species